CUGCCGUACGGGUCCGUCGGGAAAUCCGCCCGCUCAACGGGCGGACGUCCGGCGGAAACCAUAUGGCUUGGGACCAGAGGACCCGAGGGGUACGUCGGGGGUAGGAGUGAAAUCCCGAGAUCCUCGACGGACCGCCGGUGGCGAAAGCGCCUCGGGAAGAUGGAUCCGACGGUCAGGGACGAAAGCUUGGGUCUCGAACCGGAUUAGAUACCCGGGUAGUCCAAGCUGUAAACGAUGCUCGCUAGGUGUGGCGUAGGCUACGAGCCUGCGCUGUGCCAAAGGGAAGCCACGAAGCGAGCCGCCUGGGAAGUACGUCUGCAAGGAUGAAACUUAAAGGAAUUGCGGGGGAGCACUACAACGGGAGGAGCCUGCGGUUUAAUUGGACUCAACGCCGGACAUCUCACCGGUUCCGACUCUGGGAGUGAAGGUCAGCUUGACGAGCUUACUAGACCCAGAGAGAGGUGGUGCAUGGCCGCCGUCAGCUCGUACCGUGAGGCGUCCUGUUAAGUUAGGCAACGAGCGAGACCCGUGUCCGUAGUUGCCAGCAGCACGUUCAGUGGCUGGGUACACUACGGAGACUGCCUCCGCUAAGGAGGAGGAAGGAGCGGGCAACGGUAGGUCAGUAUGCCCCGAACGAAGCGGGCAACACGCGGGCUACAAUGGCACGGACAGCGGGAUGCAGCCCCGAGAGGGGUAGCUAAUCCCACAAACCGUGUCUCAGUUCAGAUUGAGGACUGAAACCCGUCCUCAUGAAGUUGGAUUCCGUAGU
rnacentral:rRNA from 1 species